rnacentral:SRP_RNA from 1 species
AGACCUGGACCUAUGCAACUGCAACGCCCAAACUUUGUCAGGACCUGACGGUAGCAGCAAUACGGGAUGCUUGCAGUAGGCGUAGACUCCGGGUCGCCCU